rnacentral:tRNA from 1 species
GCAGCGGUGGUUCAGUGGUAGAAUUCCCGCCUUCCAUGUGGGAGAUCUGGGUUUGAUUCCUGGCCAACACA